UUUUCCUACGGGGGGCAGCAGUAGGGAAUCUUCCACAAUGGACGAAAGUCUGAUGGAGCAACGCCGCGUGAGUGAAGAAGGGUUUCGGCUCGUAAAGCUCUGUUGUUGGAGAAGAACGUGCGUGAGAGUAACUGUUCACGCAGUGAUGGUAUCCAACCAGAAAGUCACGGCUAACUACGUGCCAGCAACCGCGGUAAUACGUAGGUGGCAAGAGCUAUCCGGAUUUAUUG
rnacentral:rRNA from 1 species